GCGAAAUGCGAUAAGUAAUGUGAAUUGCAGAAUUCAGUGAAUCAUCGAAUCUUUGAACGCACAUUGCGCCCGCCAGUAUUCUGGCGGGCAUGCCUGUUCGAGCGUCAUUACAACCCUCAGGCCCCCGGGCCUGGCGUUGGGGAUCGGCGGAAGCCCCCUGCGGGCACAACGCCGUCCCCCAAAUACAGUGGCGGUCCCGCCGCAGCUUCCAUUGCGUAGUAGCUAACACCUCGCAACUGGAGAGCGGCGCGGCCACGCCGUAAAACACCCAACUUCUGAAUGUUGACCUCGAAUCAGGUAGGAAUACCCGCUGAACUUAA
rnacentral:misc_RNA from 1 species